UACAGAGGUCUCAAGCGUUGUUCGGAUUCAUUGGGCGUAAAGGGUGCGUAGGUGGCGCCGUAAGUCGGGUGUGAAAUUUCGGAGCUUAACUCCGAAACUGCAUUCGAUACUGCGGUGCUUGAGGACUGGAGAGGAGACUGGAAUUCACAGUGGAGCAGUGAAAUGCGUAGAUAUUGUGAGGAACACCAGCGGCGAAGGCGGCAUCCUGGACUGGUCCUGACACUCAGGAGCGAAAGCGUGGGGAGCGAUCCGG
rnacentral:rRNA from 1 species